rnacentral:tRNA from 1 species
AGAGAUCAGCUGGUGGUUAAGCGCUUGGCUGCUAACCAAAAGGUUGGUGGUUCAAAUCCACCAGCCUCUC